GCCCACGUGAAUCUCCCUAUGUUAAACGAAAAAAGCAAGUCAAUAAUGAUACACGGCAUAAAACAGAUCUGAAGAGCUGACCUGUAGUGCAGCCACA